GGCGUACUUAACACAUGCAAGUCGAACGAGGAGUGUCGGUGUAGCAAUACAUCGGCGCUUCAAGUGGCGCACGGGUGAGUAACACGUGGGUAACCUGCCCUUGAGUUCGGGAUACCCUCUCGAAAGGGAGGCUAAUACCGGAUACGUUCCUCGGGUCGCGAGAUCGGAGGAGGAAAGGCGGCGCAAGCCGCCGCUCUUGGAGGGGCCCGCGGCCUAUCAGCUAGUUGGUGAGGUAACGGCUCACCAAGGCGACGACGGGUAGCUGGUCUGAGAGGACGACCAGCCACACGGGGACUGAGACACGGCCCCGACUCCUACGGGAGGCAGCAGUGGGGAAUUUUCCGCAAUGGGCGAAAGCCUGACGGAGUGACGCCGCGUGGGGGACGAAGGCCUUCGGGUCGUAAACCCCUGUCAGAGGGAAAGAAGGGUGUCGGCGUGAACAGCGCCGGCAUCUGACGGUACCUUCAGAGGAAGCCCCGGCCAACUC
rnacentral:rRNA from 1 species